ACCGUUAACGCAAAUAAAUAUUCUUUCUUUGUGUAUGUGCAUAUAGCAUACGCUUUGUGUAUGCGCAUAUAGCAUAUACAUAUGUAUCUCUAUCCCAGCCUGUUAGAGUACAGUGUGUGGUUGCCAUUUACUACAUAUUAAUAAUAAUAAUAAUAAUAAUAAUCUGCUUGACCCUGCAAAGUGAAUAUAGCAAUUAACAAUUUCAAGCAUCUAUAGUGAAUACAUUUGAGUUCUGACUUUGAUAGCACUGAGUAGACUGAGCCAUUAAUUGGUUGGUGUUUUAUCAUUAUUCCCUUUUUACACAGUUAAUAUCUGAAUUCACCAUGGUCCUUAAAGCAGAGAACAUGUUGUUCUAACUAGUUUUUUUUUUUUUUUUUAUCAUCAGCUGUACUUUGUCUUAUUUUAUUAGAAAGCGUAUUAAUGUGGUUAGCAUUUUGACUGUUCUGUAUGGUGCUAAAUGUAAAGCUAACUAUAGUUAAUAUGAUGGUGUGUACUAAGGGCAAUUCUGGGGCACCAUUGAGCAAUCAAUAUGGAACCAGUGUGAUGUUCAGAGCUUAGAACAUUGCUGUUUAUAUAUUAACCCUUUAGCCUAUUUGUAGUCUGCUACAUUGCACCUACUCUGAAAUUUGUGGUGUCAUAGCUGCUGAUUGGGGUUGUUCCAAGCAUGUUUAGUAGCCAUUUAACAACACAACUUAUCUGUAUUUGUACUUCACUCGGAGUAUGAAAAUGAAUGAAUUAUUUUAAAGUGGAAUUCUUCCCAGUUUUUUUAUGUUUACUUAUCCACUAUAUUUCAUAAAUAUGUUUGCAAGGUCUGAACAUUUAAAUUAAACGAAGAAAGCUGCACAACAGUAUUUAUCUUCAUCCUCGAACUAGAUCCAUCUUGUCUUCCGGAGAAUCAUUGCUAUGAACUCUGCCUCUUUCUGUCUUUAGCAUAAUAUGUGAAGGUGGAGAAUAAAAAACAAAAUAAUAUUUCUCCUUUAUCAUCUGUGCAUUGGCUGUGCCGAAACUAAAUUAAAUUGUGAUGUUAAUUGCUAAAUAUUUAAUAUAAAUAAAAAAUUGAGCUUCACACGAAAAGGGUAACUCAAGUUUCAAUGGUUUAUCAAGGUUUUAUUCUAGAAAUAAGACAUUGUUGAUUCAUUGCGGUACGAACCCUAUGUUAACAAAGAACCAAGUAUAAUGAAGUAUAUCUGAA